GUCUCCGUGGCGCAAUUGGUUAGCGCGUCUGACUGUUAUGAUUCAUAGACUCUGGCGGCAAUUACAUCAGGAGGUUGACAGUUCAAUCCUGUCCGGGGACG